GACAGAGGGGGCAAGCGUUGCUCGGAAUUACUGGGCGUAAAGGGCGCGUAGGCGGGAUGGCAAGUCGGUCGUGAAAUCCCUCGGCUCAACUGAGGAUCGUCGAUCGAUACUGCCGUUCUUGAGGAUUGCAGAGGAGACUGGAAUUCCCGGUGUAGCGGUGAAAUGCGUAGAUAUCGAGAGGAACACCAGUGGCGAAGGCGAGUCCCUGGACAACACCUGACACUGAGGCACGAAAGCUAGGGGAGCAAACAGG
rnacentral:rRNA from 1 species